CCUCCCUCUUUGCUGAUGGCAAUACUAAAAUAAUUACACCCAAAAACUGCCAAUCAGUUGAAAUGCACUUCAACUCUGAGAAAAUGGCUAAAACUGUUGGAAAGCUGGCUGAAAAGACCCCUGGAGUGGGUGAAAUCGUCAGUGGUUUACUUGUAAAGAAAGGUUUCACUUACCAGAUCAUGGCACCUGAUGAUCUCCAUAUCUUUUCUCAGCUAUCCACUGCAAAUGUCACACAGAGAAUUACAAUCCCAUAUUCAGGUGCUUUUGCCGUUAUACAACACAGGCUUAAGCAAAUCUAUGAAAGUGUAGAUUCCUCGACAGAUGAGGAAUCUGGUGUUCCAAGUUUGCGAGUGCAUGAGCGAGUGACGGUGAAGCAGGAGUCAGAGAAUCAUCUCUCUCUUCAUUGGACAGCAGAUCCAAUUAGUGACAUGGUAUCUGACUCCAUCGUGGCAUUGGUUUUGAAUGCCAGCAGGGAGAUGCCUAAAGUAUCAGUUGAUUCGGAAACUUUGAUGAACGAGGAGGAAGAUGCCAAGAAAGCUGAGAAAAUAGUCCAUGCACUCCUUGUUUCUCUGUUUGGUGACGUGAAAUAUGGGAACGACGGCAAGCUGGUCAUAAAUGUUGAUGGGAAUGUGGCUAAUCUUGAUAGACAAACUGGUGAUGUUGAAUGUGAAAAUGAAGGUCUCAAGGAGAGAGUUAGGACUGCAUACCGGAGAAUUAGAAGUGCUGUGAAGCCAAUACCGCUUUCUGCAGCUUAGUCUCUUGUACUUUUUCUUUACUGAGAGUUUGUAUGCAAAAAAUACAUUGUAGUUUAUUUUCAGCUUCAGGAAGCAAAAUAUAUUCUGAAUUCAUUGUUCUGUUCAGUAAAUCUCUCUUUUCCCUCUAAUUUGUUUGAUCUGAAAUUGGUGUUAUGCAUUUGGGUAAUUUUGGUAGAAUUUUCUCCAAGGUACUAUGCUUAUUUUCCUUAGAUUUGGAUGUUUGAGCUGGAAAGAAAUUCUUUACCAGUCCUUGAUGAACUGGACAAAGAAUCUUUGAGCAUGUGAUCAGUACUAAAAUAAUUACACCCAAAAACUGCCAAUCAGUUGAAAUGCACUUCAACUCUGAGAAAAUGGCUAAAACUGUUGGAAAGCUGGCUGAAAAGACCCCUGGAGUGGGUGAAAUCGUCAGUGGUUUACUUGUAAAGAAAGGUUUCACUUACCAGAUCAUGGCACCUGAUGAUCUCCAUAUCUUUUCUCAGCUAUCCACUGCAAAUGUCACACAGAGAAUUACAAUCCCAUAUUCAGGUGCUUUUGCCGUUAUACAACACAGGCUUAAGCAAAUCUAUGAAAGUGUAGAUUCCUCGACAGAUG
rnacentral:lncRNA from 1 species